rnacentral:rRNA from 1 species
UGACUGCGUACCUUUUGUAUAAUGGGUCAGCGACUUACUGUUCGUGGCAAGCUUAACCGUAUAGGGGAGGCGAAGGGAAACCGAGUCUGAUAAGGGCGCAUAGUCGCGGGCAGUAGACCCGAAACCGGGUGAUCUAGUCAUGCCCAGGGUGAAGGUGCGGUAACACGCACUGGAGGCCCGAACCCACUCCCGUUGCAAAGGUAGGGGAUGAGGUGUGAUUAGGAGUGAAAAGCUAAUCGAACCCGGAGAUAGCUGGUUCUCCUCGAAAGCUAUUUAGGUAGCGCCUCAUAUGUAUCCUCUCGGGGGUAGAGCACUGUUAUGGCUAGGGGGUCAUCGCGACUUACCAAACCAUUGCAAACUCCGAAUACCGAGACGGACUGUA